GCCUGGGUAGCUCAGUCGGUUAAGCAUCUGACUUCGACUCAGGUCGUGAUCUCACCAUUCGUGGGUUUAAGCCCUGCGUCAGGCU
rfam:Felis catus isolate Cinnamon breed Abyssinian chromosome D4, whole genome shotgun sequence.